UGAAAUCCAAAACAGUUUGCAUUCAAUCAGGCCUCGAUUCGGAAUACAUGUUCUUAAUCACUUGUUGACAAUGGUUUGAGGAAAUACCUGGUGAUGAACAAAAGACAAAAGAAAAGGCUGAAGAAUCAGCAAGAAACAGCAGGGAAUCAGCAGCAAGUCCAGUAACAAAGAGCAAACCCGCAAAGCAAUUUCAAACCCAAAAAAUGAAGUACUCCAGCCCAGAAAUCAGUUUCAAAUGCACAGUCUAACCAACAGACCUCUAAACCAACCUCAAUGACUAAGUCUCAAACCAUUUCUAAGUUCAAAUGAUCAAGAAAUCGAUUCAGAAAGAAGAGGAUUUCAGAUUUCAAAACUAAAGCCCAAUGAAACAUUGUUUUCUGCAAAAAGUUUCAGCCGUUUAGUAGUUUUCAGAAUUUUUCCCCCUCGAAAUCUAAAAAAAAAAUCUCUAUGGAACCCCAAGUAACUAUGCCUUUAUAGGCAAGUUACUAGGGCAGCCUUAAGGGUUUAGUUUUUUUAUUUUAGUUCUUUUCCAAUUUUCCUUUUUGCUGCUUAGUCCUUCAUUUACUGACUUGUUGGUCAAGUAAGUAUAUCAUGCAGCUUCUGGGAAGCUUCUCAGGCAGUUUCAACAAGAUUUCCCUUAACUAAAAUCCUAAAGUACCCUUUAAAUUCCUUCCAAUUACUUCAGCAUACCACAUGGGUCAAGUCUGACCCAAGACUCAAAUCACGACGAACGGGCUUUCUUUAAAAAUGGGUCAGAAAUGACCCCAAGGCCCAAAACCAAUCAGAAAUCCAUUUGGUAAUUCACUAGAAGCAGAAGAAACCGAUUAAAUGAUUUCAAAACCAAAAUCUAAACUAAAUGAUUGAUUUCCUUUUAAACUAAACAAUGAGUUAGAAAUAACAACAUCUGAUUAAACUAAUUAUACGACUAGAAAAAUCAGAAAACUUAAAUGUCAUAAAUAACAACUAAGCAUGGCGAGUGAAUAAUCUAAACAAAAAUCAGAAAACAUCAUUCAAAAAUUUGAAAGGAAAAACUGAGAAAGCAAACAGAACAAAUACGAGCAUGAACCAAUCGAGAAGGGAAAAUCUAGGUUCAAACCUUGACCAACUUCCAGUCUAUUUAAAGAAAAGUAGAAGAAAAGAAGAGGAAUAGGAGGUGAAAUAACAAAAGUGGACAGAAAAAUAAAGAAAACUUACCAACUAAACUUGAAACUAACACUGGAUAUCUCGAUUUAACACAACCAGUGUUAAUCACUUGUUCUUUGCCAAGAAAAAAUGACCAACACUGCUUUAUGUUAAAUUAACCCUUGAAAACUCGAAAAUUCGGGAGCCUAAGGUCAUGCAUGCCACAGAUUCAAGAAAUUCUGAUUUUGGGCUUUUAAAACUUCAAACUCCUAUUCAAGAUUCGACAAAAGAUAGGGUGAUUCGAAGAAAAACACAUGGGGAUUUGGAGUGAGGGAGCACUGGAGGUUCUCCGGUGUUAGUUUGGGGUUGAACAGAGGUGGCGCCGCCACCAGAGAAAACAAGGGCGGCGCUAGGGUUUCGAUCUUUGAUCUGAAAUUCGAGGAGUUCUGGAAGGAUUUAAGAGGAGUUGUUUGGGGAUUUGGGAUGUGGAGGUGGAGGAGAUUAUGGAGUGUUAAUUUCAUGGUGGUUGGUGGUGGCGCCUCCACCUUCAGGCGGUGGGCGUUCAAGGGCGGCUGCUAGGGUUCAGGUCUUGUUGGAGAGGGUGAGAG
rnacentral:lncRNA from 1 species